rnacentral:rRNA from 1 species
UACGGAAGGCAGCAGUGGGGAAUAUUGCACAAUGGGCGAAAGCCUGAUGCAGCUAUGCCGCGUGUAUGAAGAAGGCCUUAGGGUUGUAAAGUACUUUCAUCGGGGAGGAAAAACAAAACUAAUAAUUUUAUUUCUUGACGUUACCCGAAAAAGAAGCACCGGCUAACUCCGUGCCAGCAGCCGCGGUAAUACGGAGGGUGCUAGCGUUAAUCAGAAUUACUGGGCGUAAAGAGCACGUAGGUGGUUUUUUUAAAGUCAGAUGUGAAUCCCUGGGCUUAACCUAGGAACUGCAUUUUGAAACUGAAAUACUAGAGUAUCGUAGAGGGAGGUAGAAUUCUAGGUGUAGCGGUGAAAUGCGUAGAUAUCUGGAGGAUACCUGUGGCGAAAGCGGCCUCCUAAACGAAUACUGACACUGAGGUGCGAAAGCGUGGGGAGCAAACAGGGAUUAGAUACC